CUAAAAGGUCAGAUUUUGGUGUCCCAAAAGCCCCAAGAAAAUCCGUGGAUGUGCAGCUCCUUCUUUGUCCAAGUGAUUGUCCAAGUUGUCUUGAGCUUGUGUGGUGAAUUUGGUGUGAAUUGGAGCAAGAAAAUGGUGGAGGAAAAAUUGUGAAAUUUGGAGUGUGAGAGAGAGUAGAGACCGGCGGUUAUGGUGAGGGGAAAGGGAGG
rnacentral:lncRNA from 1 species